UUGGUUUAAAUCAUUGUGGGCUACAUUUUAAAAAUUGAACACAUACAAAGUAGUGAGACAUACAUUGAUUUCAUCCAA
rfam:Medicago truncatula strain A17 chromosome 6, whole genome shotgun sequence.